UGUGUGAUAUAUGGUUGUAGUUUAGAUCUGAAACUGCAUGCAUGUGAGACAUGCUUUAAAUAUAGAUCUUUUAAUACAUAUGUUAGAUAUAUAUUUUGAUUAGUUUUAGAUCUAGAUAUCUAUGCAUAUAUUGAUAUAUAUUUUUGAUUAGUUUUAGAUCUGAAAAUAAUGCAUAUGAUACAUGGUUUGUACACCCAUAGUCUAAAACUUACUUUUUAGUCAGACCCUGGAUCUAAAAUCGUAGGAUCUUUAUAUUUUGUUGCAUGAUAAAGUUGUUUUGAUUUAAAAAUUAUUUUUCAUCU
rnacentral:lncRNA from 1 species